rnacentral:rRNA from 1 species
CUGGCGGCGUGCCUAACACAUGCAAGUUCGAGCGGCAGCGAGUUUUACACUGAAUUUCUGGAAGCCUUUCCGGGUAAUAUAGAAAGAAUCUAUUUCAAGAAAUUUUCGUCGUAAAAUCGUCGGCGAGCGGCGGAACGGCUGAGUAACGCGUAGGAAUUUGCCCCAAAGUCGAGGAAUAACUGCCCGAAAGGGUAGCUAAUGCCGCAUAUGGUCUUCGGAUUAAAGCCUUCGGGCGCUUUGGGAGAAGCCUGCGUUGGAUUAGGUAGUUGGUAGGGUAAUAGCCUACCAAGCCGACGAUUCCAUAGCUGGUCUGAGAGGAUGAUCAGCCAGACUGGAACUGAGACACGGUCCAGACUCCUACGGGAGGCAGCAGUGAGGAAUCUUCCACAAUGGGCGAAAGCCUGAUGGAGCAACGCCGGCGUGAAGGAUGAAGGCCUUCGGGUUUGUAAACUUCUUUUAUGAGUGAAGAAUAUGACGGUAACUCAUGAAUAAGCACCGGCUAACUACGUGCCAGCAGCCGCGGUCAUACGUAGGGUGCAAGCAUUAUCCGGAGUGACUGGGCGUAAAGAGUUGCGUAGGCGGUUUAAUAAGUGAAUAGUGAAACCUGGUGGCUCAACCAUACAGACUAUUAUUCAAACUGUUAAACUCGAGAAUGGUAGAGGUAACUGGAAUUUCUAGUGUAGGAGUGAAAUCCGUAGAUAUUAGAAGGAACACCGAUGGCGUAGGCAGGUUACUGGGCCAUUUCUGACGCUAAGGCACGAAAGCGUGGGGAGCGAACCGGAUUAGAUACCCGGGUAGUCCACGCCGUAAACGAUGGAUACUAGCUGUUGGAGGUAUCGACCCCUUCAGUAGCGAAGCUAACGCGUUAAGUAUCCCGCCUGUGGAGUACGGCCGCAAGGCUAAAACAUAAAGGAAUUGACGGGGACCCGCACAAGCGGUGGAUUAUGUUCUUUAAUUCGAUGAUAACCGAAGAACCUUACCAGGGCUUGACAUCCAGGGAAGGUCUGCGAAAGUAGACUGUGCCUUUUGGAACCCUGUGACAGGUGAUGCAUGGCCGUCGUCAGCUCGUGUCGUGAGAUGUUAGGUUAAGUCCUUCAACGAGCGCAACCCUUGUGAAUAGUUGUAUUUUUCUAUUCAGACUGCCCCGGUAACGGGGAGGAAGGAGGGGAUGAUGUCAGGUCAGUAUUUCCCUUACGUCCUGGGCUAGAAACGUAAUACAAUGGCUAGUACAAUGCGCAGCGAAGCCGCGAGGUGAAGCAAAUCGCAUCAAAGCUAGUCCCAGUUCGGAUUGUAGGCUGAAACUCGCCUGCAUGAAGUCGGAAUCGCUAGUAAUCGCAAAUCAGCAAGUUGCGGUGAAUACGUUCCCGGGUCUUGCACACACCGCCCGUC